UAGAGUUUGAUCCUGGCUCAGAACGAACGCUGGCGGCGUGCUUAACACAUGCAAGUCGAACGGGAUCCAGAGCUUGCUCUGGUGAGAGUGGCGCACGGGUGAGUAACGCGUGGAUAACCUGCCCUGGUAUCUGGAAUAACAUCUCGAAAGGGGUGCUAAUACCGGAUAAGCUUACGGUUCCCUCGGGAGCUGUGAGAAAAGGUGGCCUCUGAAUAUGCUACCGUAUCAGGAUGGGUCCGCGUACCAUUAGCUAGUUGGUGGGGUAAUGGCCUACCAAGGCGACGAUGGUUAGCUGGUCUGAGAGGAUGAUCAGCCACACUGGAACUGAGACACGGUCCAGACUCCUACGGGAGGCAGCAGUGGGGAAUUUUGCGCAAUGGGGGAAACCCUGACGCAGCAACGCCGCGUGAGUGAUGAAGGCUUUCGGGUCGUAAAGCUCUGUCAGUAGGGAAGAAAUGAGCCUGGCUAAUAUCCAGGUUUCUUGACGGUACCUACAAAGGAAGCACCGGCUAACUCCGUGCCAGCAGCCGCGGUAAUA
rnacentral:rRNA from 1 species